rnacentral:rRNA from 1 species
AUUGAACGCUGGCGGCAGGCCUAACACAUGCAAGUCGAGCGAGCGGCGGACGGGUGAGUACUGUCUGGGAAACUGCCUGAUGGGGGGGGCUAACUACUGGAAACGGUAGCUCAUACCGCGUACCAUCAGAUCUGCCCAUAUGGGAUUAGCUAGUGGGUGGGGUAACGGCUCACCAAGGCGACGAUCCCUAGCUGGUCUGAGAGGAUGACCAGCCACACUGGAACUGAGACACGGUCCAGACUCCUACGGGAGGCAGCAGUGGGGAAUAUUGGACAAUGGGCGCAAGCCUGAUGCAGCCAUGCCGCGUGUGUGAAGAAGGCCUUCGGGUGGUAAAGCACUUUCAGCGGGGAGGCGUUACCAGCAGAAGAAGCACCGGCUAACUCCGUGCCAGCAGCCGCGGUAAUAC